GUGAUUUCAGUGAACUACAUAAAAUAGCUUUUGCCCUUUAUGCUUCCACUGACUUGCAUAACGAAUCAUUCACGGUCAAACUGCACUGUGUGGUUCUGCAUGCAGCAGCAGAUUUCUGUGAUAUUGUGCCCCUUUCCUGCAAGUUCUCUGACUGUUUUGCUGUUAGAUUCAGAUGCAGCAUAUGUUCAGGCUGUACUAAUUCCUGAACAUCUCCCUCUCUGUAACACGGUGAGACUCUAUAAGGGUUUCCUAUUUACUGGGGGAUAUAUCUGGAAAAGAGCUAAAUUAUGCAGUAGGUAAUUCAAGGGCAGUGAACCUAUAGCAAGAAGAGCUUUCAUCCUCGCCAGGAUUCAUUGAGAUUUACAGCUAUCUAUUUCCAAAUAGGACAUCAGUUAGUUUUUUUCCAUGACAUAUGGAUGUUGUGUUGGUACUCAUGUUAGCUCUUUGUUUGGUUAGUAUCAAAGGUGUCUCCAGAGGGUGUUUUAAAGUGUUUAAAUCAAUCUGCUGCUAAGAAUCACUGAAGCUUGGAGCUACAAGAACAAGUGGCAAACUGCACUGAAGCAGAAAUGUUCUUGAAAGAUUGUCAACAGCCCAGAGAGCUGAACCCAUAUCUAACACACAGAAGCCAAUGAGUUCCUGUGCAUAUGAAGAGCAGUCAAGAGGCAAUAUAAAAAUAAACAAGCAGUCCUUCACCUCACCUCCACCUCAGAUUUUUGAAGUCGGAUUGCUACUACAAUAGGCAUAUUCUAACUUUGCCUCCUAGGAAAAAAAUAAAACGACACACUCUGAAAA